rnacentral:rRNA from 1 species
ACGAACGCUGGCGGCGUGCUUAACCCAUGCAAGUCGAACGGAAAGUCCCUGCUUUUGUGGGGUGCUCGAGUGGCGAACGGGUGAGUAACACGUGAGUAACCUGCCCUUGACUUUGGGAUAACUUCAGGAAACUGGGGCUAAUACCGGAUCGGAGCUCCUGCUGCAUGGUGGGGGUUGGAAAGUUUCGGCGGUUGGGGAUGGACUCGCGGCUUAUCAGCUUGUUGGUGGGGUAGUGGCUUACCAAGGCUUUGACGGGUAGCCGGCCUGAGAGGGUGACCGGCCACAUUGGGACUGAGAUACGGCCCAGACUCCUACGGGAGGCAGCAGUGGGGAAUAUUGCACAAUGGGCGGAAGACUGAUGCAGCAACGCCGCGUGCGGGAUGACGGCCUUCGGGUUGUAAACCGCUUUCGCCUGUGACGAAGCGUGAGUGACGGUAAUGGGUAAAGAAGCACCGGAUAACUACGUG